GCCUGAUGGAUAACUGAAGAAGCUUAUCGCUGGAGAAGCCCGGGAGAUGCGACAGGAGUUCGUCCGUCAGGGAAACCCGGUCGACACUUGUGGAAGAAGCUGUGGGAGUUUAUCCGUCGGCAGAACUUGAGAAUAUUGCGGAAGCUCGGCCGCCGGAGAGGUUCGGAAAAAUGUCGCCCAAGGUUGGACGUCGGCAGAGUCCCGGGAGGGUCACUCCCGAUAUGAACUUCGGCUG
rnacentral:lncRNA from 1 species